rnacentral:lncRNA from 1 species
CUGACAUGCGUAUUAUCUCACAAUUUAUUAUGGCAAAAUAUGUAUGCUUGGAAAACAAGCAGUAUUUUCAGUCAAACAGAAUUUUCAUAAAACAUAAGAAUUCAUGCGAUUAGCAUCAUUUAAAGGAGAUAGCGGUUUUAGCAAAAUACAACAUUUCAUAAGGAUAUAUUCAAAAAAUCCGUUGUAAAACAAUGUAUGCUUUGGCCAGGCACGUUCAUAAAUGUCACGGCCCGCCAGCACAGGGCAUGUGACUAUCGGGCCCACAUGAGGGGGAAACACGGGGCUCCCCUGCCAGAUGUUGGCCGGUUCCGGGGCUUCACGCAAGCGUCCUUCACCCCUCACCGAUUUUGCUUCUCCCCAAAAACGCAUCCGCAGGAUUUGGAAGCACCCGCCUCAUAUACCCAGGCUCUGAAACGAGCCUCAUGAUCAUGCUUCAAAUAUCAUUUUCAUAAAGUAUGCAUAUGAAACCGUGCCCCCGGCAUGUCGUGGUCCAUUCUCUCGGAUGCUACUGCGAAGUCCAUUCGGCCACUGGCGGGGCCAGCUAGUCCUUCUCGGCCACUAGCAAGGCCAGCUCAGUUGCAUUCGAUCAGUAGCAUCUUUGAGCCCAUUAUAAUAGUGCCUCUUGGCUAGCUA